rnacentral:rRNA from 1 species
GCGACCCCAGGUCAGGCGGGACUACCCGCUGAAUUUAAGCAUAUAAAUAAGCGGAGGAGAAGAAACUUACAAGGAUUCCCCUAGUAACG